CUUCCCUUUCCUUCCUUUCUUUUUGGUUUAGAGAAGCCCUUUCAAUAUUUCCUUUAACCUGGGUUUUGUGUUGCUGUAUUCUUUAAGUUUUUGUUUGUUGGGAAAAAUUUUUAUUUCCCCUUCUAUUUUAAAUGAUAUUCUUGCUGGAUAAAGUAUUCUAGGUUGCAUAUUUUUUCCUUUGAGCACUUUAAAUAUCUCUUGCCAUUCCCUCCUGGCCUGUAGUGUUUCUGUAGAGAAAUCAGCUGCUAUUCUUAUGGGGGUUCCCUUGUAGGUAACAUUCUGUUUUUCUCUUGCUGCCUUUAGGAUCCUCUCUUUAUCACUAACUUUUGCCAUUUUUAUUAUGAUGUGUCUUGGUGUGGGUCUGUUUGGGUUCAGUUUGUUUGGGGCCCUCUGUGCUUCUUGUAUCUUGAAUCCAGUAUCCUUUAGAUUUGGGAAGUUUCCAGCGAUAAUUUCUUCAAAUAUAUUUUCCAUUCCUUUAUCUUUUUCUACUCCUUCUGGAAUUCCUAUUAUGCGUAGAUUGGCCCGUUUUAUAUUAUCCCAUAGGUCUCUUAUAUUGCUUUCCAGUUUUUUGAUUCGGUUUUCUGUCUGUUGACCAGAUUGAGUGAUUUCCAUUAUUCUAUCUUCCAUAUCACUGAUUCGUUCUUCUGCAUUAUUCAUUCUGGUUUUUACUGCCCCUAGUUCAGUUUGCAUCUCUGCAAAUGAAUGUUCUAGUUUUUCUUGGCUCCUCCUUAUAUUUUCUAGCUCCUUUCUGAGGGUAUCUGCAUUGCUGUUCAUAUCUUCUCUUAAUUCCUUCAGUAUUUUCACUAUUUCUCUUUUGAACUCCAGGUCUGUCAGACUGCAGAGAUCAGUUUCAUUGUUGACUGUUUUAGGUGAGUUCUCCUGUUGGUUUGACUGGGGGUGGUUUCUCAGCUUCUUCAUCUUGCUUGUUGUCUUCUUUCUCCUGAGGGAGUUGUACUCUCCGUUAUCGGGUAGUGUUUGCCUUGUCACUGCCCUGGAAUAUUUCCUGAGGGCUGUCGUUGUUGGUCAAUCUUUUUUUGAGGCAGUGUGGCUUUUCUGGAGUGUUGAUGGGACUAACAGUGUUUCUUUGAAGCAAAGGAGGACUUCCUGAGGGCAGACAGGACUGGGAGGUCCACCCCACGAUGGUAGCAGAUUUCACUUGGUUCUCAGCACCCCCUGGGGUCUUGGGCGGGUAGCAGGGCCCUUGGAGACUCAAGAGGCUCCUCCCCAGGGCAGCCCGACUCAGAAAGACCGUCUGAGAUCUUUUCCCGAUUCGGCCAGGCUUGUUGCAGCUUUUCUGGGCUGCAGGGGGUCCUGCCUGGAGCUGGCAGUCCUAUGCAGCUGGUCCACUAGGUCUCAGCACCCCUUGGGGUCUUGGGCGGGUAGCAGGGCCUUUGGAGACUCAAGAGGCUCCUCCCCAGAACAGCCCGACUCAGAAAGACCGUCUGAGAUCUUUUCCCAAUUCGGCCAGGCUUGUUGCAGCUUUUCUGGGCUGCAGGGGGUCCUGCCUGGAGCUGGCAGUCCUAUGCAGCUGGUCCACUAGGUCUCAGCACCCCCUGGGGUCUUGGGCGGGUAGCAGGGCCCUUGGAGACUCAAGAGGCUCCUCCCCAGGACAGCCCGACUCAGAAAGACCGUCUGAGAUCUUUUCCCAAUUCGGCCAGGCUUGUUGCAGCUUUUCUGGGCUGCAGGGGUCCUGCCUGGAGCUGGCAGUCCUAUGCAGCUGGUCCACUAGGUCUCAGCACCCCCUGGGGUCUUGGGCGGGUAGCAGGGCCCUUGGAGACUCAAGAGGCUCCUCCCCAGGGCAGCCCGACUCAGAAAGACCGUCUGAGAUCUUUUCCCAAUUCGGCCAGGCUUGUUGCAGCUUUUCUGGGCUGCAGGGGGUCCUGACUGGAGCUGGCAGUCCUAUGCAGCUGGUCCACUAGGUCUCAGCACCCCUUGGGGUCUUGGGCGGGUAGCAGGGCCCUUGGAGACUCAAGAGGCUCCUCCCCAGGACAGCCCGACUCAGAAAGACCGUCUGAGAUCUUUUCCCGAUUCGGCCAGGCUUGUUGCAGCUUUUCUGGGCUGCAGGGGGUCCUGCCUGGAGCUGGCAGUCCUAUGCAGCUGGUCCACUAGGUCUUAGCACCCCCUGGGGUCUUGGGCGUGUAGCACGGCCCUUGGAGACUCAAGAGGCUCCUCCCCAGGACAGCCCGACUCAGAAAGACCGUCUGAGAUCUUUUCCCAAUUCGGCCAGGCUUGUUGCAGCUUUUCUGGGCUGCAGGGGGUCCUGACUGGAGCUGGCAGUCCUAUGCAGCUGGUCCACUAGGUCUCAGCACCCCUUGGGGUCUUGGGCGGGUAGCAGGGCCCUUGGAGACUCAAGAGGCUCCUCCCCAGGACAGCCCGACUCAGAAAGACCGUCUGAGAUCUUUUCCCGAUUCGGCCAGGCUUGUUGCAGCUUUUCUGGGCUGCAGGGGGUCCUGCCUGGAGCUGGCAGUCCUAUGCAGCUGGUCCACUAGGUCUUAGCACCCCCUGGGGUCUUGGGCGUGUAGCAAGGCCCUUGGAGACUCAAGAGGCUCCUCCCCGGGGGAGCCCGUCUCAGAAAAACCGUGGGAGAAUUAGGUCGAUCUAUUCACGGCCUGGCUAGGCUUGUUCUAGCUUUUCUGGGCUGCAGGCCUUUUCUAGGGGCUGGUGGUGUUUGGUGCUGCUCUGUGGAAGUGUAGCCCCUCCAAAGGGCAAGCAGGCCUGUGCAGGGAGAGCCCCUGCGGUGGUAGGCUUCAGGCAAUUGUUGAGGCCAGCCCUCCUGGAUGGCAGGCAGCCCCAGGUUCGGCGAGAGCAUAGGGGGUGGCGGGGGUGGGGGGAGGGAAUGCACUGGGAAGCACAGCUUUCUGCUAGCUAGCGGGCCUGUAAGCUUGCUGUGGCGUGGGGGGUAUUCUAUGGGGACCCACCCCUUCUUCUCUCCCCUCCCCAGCACGGGCGCAGACCAGGCUCUUCUCCCAGGUUCCCUCUGAGGCGGCUUUCCACUUCCCCGCCCCUAGAGUAUUGCUCCCUUCCUCUGCGACAGCUUUGUUUUCUAGUCUCCCAGGCAGUCUCUGCCCCGUCAAAUGGUUUAGAGACCUCCCAAGCAGUUUCCGCUCUUCCCCGCCCCCCUAGCCCGGGGACUAAUCUCUGGAGCUGAGGUCUCGGUGCCCAGCCCCCCCCACCAGGCGUCCCCCGGCCCUUUCUUGGGGACUAACCUUCGGAGGCGAGGUCUCGGUGCCCAGCCCCAACCCAGGCGUCCCCCGGCCCCCUCUCGGGGACCAACCUUCAGAGCUGAGGUCUCGGUGCCCAGCCCCCACCCAGGCGUCCCCCGGCCCUUUCCCGGGGACUAACCUCUGGAGCCGAGGAUUCGGUGCCCAGCCCCCACCCAGGCGUCUCAAUUUUUGCUGACUGUGCCCGUAGUUCAGAUGGUCCGUUGGGUUCUUGAUCUUUUUUCCGUACUCCGACUUACUGCUACACUCUUCUCUGCAUCUGGAGAUUCCUCCGGUUCGUUUGAUCUUUCCCCCGGUAGGAGACUUUCCAGGGUGCGGGAUCCCUUUCUCCUCCGCAGUUCCCUUUCGGGAGCGCCCGUCCCGCUCGGAUUCACCUUCUCUCACUCUCCUCUUUUCUCCCGUUCUGCCCAAUAAUGUCACGAACUUCUUGCCGUUAUUGGAGUUUAGGUUCCUCUGCCAGCGAUUGGUUGUUGUUCUGUGCGAGUCAUUUCUUCUGUAGAUGUGCUUUUUUUGUUGUGUUUGUGGGAGAGGGCGAGCGUGUCCCCCUACUCCUCCGCCAUCUUGUCCUCUCU
rnacentral:lncRNA from 1 species